GAUCUUGACGGCACCAACAGCAGCGCUGUUGUGCCCUCAUGCUCAAGCCUGCCCGCCGCCCACGCCGAGUAGCCAAUCGCACAAGGCUGCCGCUGGUUGGUUGUCUUCAUCGUAGUGUUUCUGCCACAAGGGAGAGGACUUGGAGGAGGAACACACUGAGGAUACAUCCAUGGAAGAUCCUACUGAAAGUUCAAACUGAACAAAUCUUUGCAUGCCGGGUGCUGAGAAGCAGUCCAAUGGCGGUACAAGACGGUGUUGUUGCUGCUGGCGUUGUGUUGGUCGACAUACGCAGCCAGCUCAGCCAUCAACACUGGCAUGUACAAGAUACAAGACACCAUUGUUGGUAGAUCUGUGAGUUGAGUGUAUCUCUGCACUAUAGCUUCCUAGCAGUUUAGUUAACGCAGCUGAAAGAGUAGCAGGCAGCGGUGUCCUCGGCGACACGCCGAUAUUUGAAAUGGUAUUCACCAAUAUGACAAUGACUUUCUCGUAGAUCCCUCUCACCGCAUCCCUCCCUCAAUCCCCUUUCUCCACUCAAUUCGCUGACACGGCUGCAGCCGCUUGUUGCUGCUCCCCGCAGCUCACCCCACCCCAUCACACCCACCCAACUCCCUCGCCACACACCCCCACCCACCCAAUCCUCUAAGCUGCAUGAUCCCCGCGCGCCUGCCAUGCCUAGACGUCAGCGUCAAAAACCUCUGUCCGGUGCUGGUCCUCGCCAUCCGGAGUGCCUGGAGAUGGGCGCCCCCGUCACGCCCGCCAUGUUGCCUCUUGUUGACCUAGGCUGCCGGUGCCCCUUCGCCUCCUUCCCUGCCUCAAUGCACCAGUCGCGGGCAAUGACACAAGCAGCAGUCUAGACCGGCACUGCAUGUGGAGGACCUCCUCUACGGCGUCCGCGUCCUGCCUUCAUGUAGCUGCAGCCGCUGUCGGCGACCUUCUGUAAAACCUCCACGAGCUGCAGCCGCCAGUGACAUCCACGCCCUUUUGCUGCCUUGAUACCACUCCUUUCCGCCGCCGUUGGCCACAUCCCAAACUUGCAGCUGCUAGGUUCGGGUACGUCCACCGUCUGAUGUGGGAUGUGCAAGGAGCACACUGGCUAGCUGCGCUGAUUGGAGCAGCAAGGCAUUACACCUCGCUGGACGGUGGCGACCGCAUCAGCACUCUUGCUGGUGUCUACGCUGGACAGUGACCUCUUCAUUGGACGUAGCUGGCGGCCCAAGCAUGCUGCUGCUCCGUAUCUGCAUCGAGCUGCUGCAAGUUGUGCGCUCACUGCCAGGAGCCAGGUUGCGUCAUUGACUGGGUUUGAAAAAAUGCUAUCUUGAGCAACAUGUGGGAGAGUUUCAGCGGGUGGCGUUGCGCAGUCCGCGAGCCGUUAGCGGCUGCAACCCAGCUCUUGCAGGCACCACCAACCAGCGCCGCUGCCACACUGCAUGCCCGUUUGCCCAGUCCUCCAUGUUGCAGACAGCUAAGAUGUACACAAGCACCGCUGCGCCGGCCUAGCUGACAAUGCAAGGUUUCUACUGCUGUAUAUAUUCACGACGUGCUUUAGCCAUUGGUAGGACUUAAUGAAGAUGUACUCUGAGUUCAAGGAGAUUGAUGUUGAAGUGCCAACCGAGGAGGAGGAAUCAAGCGAAGAAGAGGAUACAACCACAAAGACCUCAGAGGAAGAAGAGAUAGAAGAUGGUGAAGAUAAAAAGCCCAAGAGCAUGACUGUACUCUGUCAAGAACUUCCCAUGCUCUGAUACUUCCAUUUCGGCAAACUCUCA